rnacentral:rRNA from 1 species
CAGGCUUAACACAUGCAAGUCGAGCGGUAGCACAGGGGAGCUUGCUCCCUGGGUGACGAGCGGCGGACGGGUGAGUAAUGUCUGGGAAACUGCCUGAUGGAGGGGGAUAACUACUGGAAACGGUAGCUAAUACCGCAUAACGUCGCAAGACCAAAGAGGGGGACCUUCGGGCCUCUUGCCAUCAGAUGUGCCCAGAUGGGAUUAGCUAGUAGGUGGGGUAAUGGCUCACCUAGGCGACGAUCCCUAGCUGGUCUGAGAGGAUGACCAGCCACACUGGAACUGAGACACGGUCCAGACUCCUACGGGAGGCAGCAGUGGGGAAUAUUGCACAAUGGGCGCAAGCCUGAUGCAGCCAUGCCACGUGUGUGAAGAAGGCCUUCGGGUUGUAAAGCACUUUCAGCGAGGAGGAAGGUGGUGAACUUAAUACGUUCAUCAAUUGACGUUACUCGCAGAAGAAGCACCGGCUAACUCCGUGCCAGCAGCCGCGGUAAUACGGAGGGUGCAAGCGUUAAUCGGAAUUACUGGGCGUAAAGCGCACGC